rnacentral:rRNA from 1 species
UACAGGGGGUGCAAACGUUGCUCGGAAUGACUGGGCGUAAAGGGCGCGUAGGCGGACGGCUUUGUCGGGCGUGAAAUUCCAGGGCUUAACCUUGGGGCUGCGUUCGAGACGGGUUGUCUAGAGUUUGGAAGAGGGUCGUGGAAUUCCCAGUGUAGAGGUGAAAUUCGUAGAUAUUGGGAAGAACACCGGUGGCGAAGGCGGCGACCUGGUCCAGCACCGACGUUCAGGCACGAAAGCGUGGGGAGCAAACAGG